AGAGCCGAGACUGCGAAGGAGAACGCAGCAAGCCCAGGCGGCGGUGGAAAGGCUGGAGGACACACCUAAACAUGUGGAAUCCCAAUGCCGGUAGGUGUUUGGGGGUUCUGUUCCACCCCUAACCCUUUUUCUGAUGGGCUCUAUAACAGGAAGUUUCUGUAUCAGCUCCCCUACCCCCGACCUGCUGUACCCGCAAAAGCAAAGUCCUUAGUCUAGAGCUGACCAGUGCUUUUUAAUUUAAUUUAAUUUAUUUAUUUUUUGAGAUGGAGUCUCUGUUGCCCAGGCUCACUGCAACCUCCGCCUCCUGGGUUCAAGCGAUUCUCCUGUUUCAGCCUCUGGAGUAGCUGAGAUUACAGACGCAUGCUAUCACGCCCGGCUACUUUUUGUAUUUUUAGUAGAGAUGGGGG
rnacentral:lncRNA from 10 species